rnacentral:rRNA from 1 species
GCAUAUCAAUAAGCGGAGGAAAAGAAACCAACAGGGAUUGCCCUAGUAACGGCGAGUGAAGCGGCAACAGCUCAAAUUUGAAAUCUGGCCUUCGGGUCCGAGUUGUAAUUUGUAGAGGAUGCUUUUGGUGAGGUACCUUCCGAGUUCCCUGGAACGGGACGCCAUAGAGGGUGAGAGCCCCGUCUGGUUGGAUACCGAUCCUCUGUAAAGCUCCUUCGACGAGUCGAGUAGUUUGGGAAUGCUGCUCUAAAUGGGAGGUAUAUGUCUUCUAAAGCUAAAUAUUGGCCAGAGACCGAUAGCGCACAAGUAGAGUGAUCGAAAGAUGAAAAGCACUUUGAAAAGAGAGUUAAAAAGUACGUGAAAUUGUUGAAAGGGAAGCGCUCAUGACCAGACUUGGGCUUGGUUGAUCAUCCAGGGUUCUCCCUGGUGCACUCUUCCAGCUCAGGCCAGCAUCAGUUCGCUGUGGGGGAUAAAGGCUUCGGGAAUGUGGCUCCUCCGGGAGUGUUAUAGCCCGCUGCGUAAUACCCUGUGGCGGACUGAGGUUCGCGCAUCUGCAAGGAUGCUGGCGUAA